CACCAGACUCCUACGGGAGGCAGCAGUGGGGAAUAUUGCACAAUGGGGGAAACCCUGAUGCAGCGACGCCGCGUGAAGGACGAAGUAUUUCGGUACGUAAACUUCUAUCAGCAGGGAAGAAAAUGACGGUACCUGACCAAGAAGCCCCGGCUAACUACGUGCCAGCAGCCGCGGUAAUACGUAGGGGGCAAGCGUUAUCCGGAUUUACUGGGUGUAAAGGGAGCGUAGACGGCCAUGCAAGUCUGAUGUGAAAACCCGGGGCUCAACCCCGGGACUGCAUUUGGAACUGUGCUGCUAGAGUGUCGGAGAGGCAGGCGGAAUUCCUAGUGUAGCGGUGAAAUGCGUAGAUAUUAGGAGGAACACCAGUGGCGAAGGCGGCCUGCUGGACGAUGACUGACGUUGAGGCUCGAAAGCGUGGGGAGCAAACAGGAUUAGAUACCCUAGUAU
rnacentral:rRNA from 1 species